UACGUAGGGGGCAAGCGUUGUCCGGAUUUAUUGGGCGUAAAGAGCGUGUAGGCGGCCAGGUAGGUCCGUUGUGAAAACUGGAGGCUUAAACCUCCAGCUGUCGAUUGGAAACCAUCUGGCUAGAGUCCGGAAGAGGAGAGUGGAAUUCCUGGUGUAGCGGUGAAAUGCGCAGAUAUCAGGAAGAACACCCCGUGGCGAAGGCGGCUCUCUGGGACGGUACUGACGCUGAGACACGAAAGCGUGGGGAGCAAACAGG
rnacentral:rRNA from 1 species